UGAAUGGAUGCCAUGUUUUCUUUGGUUCCGCCAUUAGUAUGCCAACAUUAGCUUUGGUAAGCUAAUGGCGGACUCCGAUGGUUGUCGCUAGCCCGUCUUUAGUGUUUUACAUUGUUUGCUAGCAUUAAACACGGCGGCCUUUCCUAAGGCAAAGCUAUGUGUGUUCUACUUUUCGAGUGUGGAAUUCUUUGUUCUGUUUACUUUCAUCGUAAACAUCCAAGCAGCGCUUUUUCGUAAACUUUUCAUGGAUGACUUGUUUUCUUUGGUUCAGCAAUAUCUUUGAAUUGCGCAAACAAAUGAAAGAUUGCUUUGUUUUUGACAAGUCAUUCAGACCGCAACAACGGUCACGAGGGGAAGACUCCACCCGACCUAAAUCACGGUGAAAGCGAAGAGUCUACGCACUUCCUGCCUCACCCCCCCAAAAUGAGGUGAAAGUAUGCGAGCCUGAGGAGGAGGGGAGGCAGGAACGAGCAAUGCCAGAAACAAUAGACUCAUAAGGUGAUUAUUUUGAGCCCGAGCGGUGAUGAGACGACCUACGGAGGCUAUCGGGGACGGCGCUUCCUGGCACUGCAACGCCGUUUGAUGGCCGGAACACAUGACUCACUCUGUUGUUGUUCGAAAAGAUGGCCAGAGGAGAAAAGACCUCUCGGCUGCUCAGAUAUGCACAUCCAGGAUAGGG